rnacentral:lncRNA from 1 species
AGCAACUUGUGGACCCGCUUCGACAUGCCCUUGUCACUAAGCUUCGUGGGGAAUUUGGAGACCAGCACGUUUACCCAGGUCUUGUCCGGACUGGAAUCUGCGGGUGCUGGAGGAGCCACCGGCGUCGGAGAGUGUGCUGCUGGAGCUGGGGGAGAGCGUGCUGCUGGAGCCAGAGGAGCCACCGGGGCUGGUGCCGGGGCUGGAGGAACGGGCACUGCCAGCGCUGGGGCUGGAGGUGCGGGCGCGGCCAGCGCUGGGACUGGAGCUGGUGCUGGAGGUGCGGGCGCGGCCAGCGCUGGGNNNNNNNNNNCAUUUCAGAAUCUUGAAACCAUUGUUUACUGCUAAGAACAUGAACAAUAUGAUCCAGAGAAAGCUAAGCCGAACCCUCGAGAGACAGCAUAUACAUUUCAGAAUCUUGAAACCAUUUGUUUGCUGCUAAGAACAUGAACAAUAUGAUCCAGAGAAAGCUAAGCCGAACCCUCGAGAGACAGCAUAUACAUUUCAGAAUCUUGAAACCAUUUUUUGCUGCUAAGAACAUGAACAAUAUGAUCCAGAGAAAGCUAAGCCGAACCCUCGAGAGACAGCAUAUACAUUUCAGAAUCUUGAAAUGUAAACUAAUGUUGGUGCCAUUGCUCCCCCGAAGGAGGUAGAAAUCAAUAUCCGAAUGAUAAAGCAGAAGAUAGCAAGACAUAUUUCAUCUAUAUGGCAACUUGCUGUCGACGGAAUCCCGCACUUUCAUUACAACCACACUCAUCAAGAUAGAAGACAAGUUCAAGUUGGAAGGUAAAUUUUCAUCAAGCUACUGAUUAUAUUCAGAGUUUUCACUACAGAAAGACAAGGAAACUACAGAUUACAUUCAGGGUUGUUCACUUUGAAUAGCAAGGAAUAUUUCAUCUAUAUCGCAACUUCUUGUCAAGGGAAUCCUGCACUUUCAUUGUGAAGCAGAGACGACAGGUUUGAAUGUAAACCUACGAUUGAGUAAUCCAGAGCAAUGAGAUUAGGUGCACACUAAGGUUCCUUGUAGCUAAGCUGAUCCCUCGAGAGUGUUGAUGCUUAGCCAGCCAGUGCAGCUGAGCAGCCUUCUCUUGGCGGGGGGAGAGUCGAAGCCAC